UGGGUUUUAGUUAUUUCUUUUAUGAAAUUAAUGUUUCGAAAUAUGAUAAUCUUUUUUGAAUAUGUACUAUUUAUACAAACUAUGAAACUUUGUUGCUUUGAUAAUAAUAGUUAAUUGUCUUGAAGCAUAAAAAAAGACAAUAUAGUAAAACCUGUUUUAUCUAACACCCUUGGAACCUGUUUAAUUUGUUGGUCAAAGCAGGCUGCCAGUUAAGGUGUGUUUCAUUUAAAUCUUCUUUUUAUAAGCUUACCUGAACUUUGUUCAAAGUGAACUAUUAGUAUCAGUUGAUGGUCCAGCGUCCAUUGUCUGACGUCCUUCAACAUUUUCUUAAAUUUCAAACUGCCAUAUCUUUAACAAUAGUUGUCUGAUAAAAAAAUUCUUUAAGCAUUAUGAAAGGCUUGUGGAUGCCUUUCAUAUAAAAUUCCCUUAUUGUCAGGCAUUUCUUGUCCUGUAAAGUGGAAUUAUAUGCAUUUUUAUGCCCCCGAAGGGAGGCAUAUAGUUUUUGAACCGUCUGUCGGUCUGUCAGUCUGUCUGUCAGUCUGUCCGCAAUUUUCGUGUCCGGUCCAUAUCUUUGUCAUCGAUGGAUGGAUUUUCAAAUAACUUGGCAUGAAUGUGUACCACAGUAAGACGACGUGUCGCGUGCAAGACCCAGGUCCGUAGCUCAAAGGUCAAGGUCACACUUAGACAUUAAAGGUCAUUUUUCAUGAUAGUGCAUUCGUGUCCGGUCCAUAUCUUUGUCAUCCAUGGAUGGAUUUUCAAAUAACUUGGCAUGAAUGUGUACCACAGUAAGAUGACGUGUCGCGUGCAAGACCCAGGUCCGUAGCUCAAAGGUCAAGUCACACUUAGACAUUAAAGGUCAUAUUUCAUGAUAGUGCAUUGAUGGGCGUGUCCGGUCCAUAUCUUUGUCAUUCAUGCAUGGAUUUUAAAAUUAUUGGGCAUGAAUGUGUACCACAGUAAGACGACGUGUUGCGCGCAAGACCCAGGUCCGUAGGUCAAAAGUCCUAAACUCUAACAUCGGCCAUAACUAUUCAUUCAAAGUGCCAUCGGGGGCAUGUGUCAUCCUAUGGUAAGAAAUAAUAAGUUUCCAAAUAUGACUUUUCUUAUUUUGAGUGGGACAGUCCCUUUAAGAAAAGUCAAACUGCACCCAGGAGUUGCUUCCAUUCAACUUCAGAAAUCCCUAAAUAUAGGUAAGGGAGAUCACUGUGUAGGUGAUUGAAGAAAAUAAUUGUUAUUUUAUUAAUCCGAUUUCUUUAUUUCUAAAGUAUGAACUUCAAAUACUCAUGCGGCAUUGUAGUUAAGUAAAAAUAUGUAAAUGCACAGCAAUCAAAAAUUGCUUUAAUAAAACAUUCACCAGAAACAGAACAUGUGUAGUAAGAUGCGCAUUAUGCCACUUUAAGGCACUGCUAGAGCUAAAAAUAGAAAACCUUUUAAAAGACUUAUUCAUCAUACUUUGUCUGGAACAUUAUUUUAAGAUCCUCUUCUAAAAUUGUUCAAAUUGGGACACAUUGCCUCUUUUAGGGGCUAUUAUAGCUAAAAAUGGAAAUGCCUUUAAGUAAUCUUUUCUCAUAAAUUGCUUGAUGGAUCUUAUCAAACUUAUUAGUCCCCUACUGGUUGAAAACCAGUUUCGGGGACUAUAGGAAUGCACUUUUCCGUCAUUCCGUCCGUCCAUCCGUCUGUCCGUCCGUCUGUCCGUCCGUCUGUCCGUCCAUCCGUCCGUCCGCAAUUUCGUGUCCGGUCCAUAACUCUGUCAUCCAUGAAGGGAUUUUAAUAUUACUUGGCACAAAUGUUCCCCAUGAUGAGACGACGUGUCGUGCACAAAACCUGGACCCCUAGCUUAAAGGUCAAGGUCACAAUUGGAGGUCAAAGGUCAACAGGGCUUUUUUCCUGUCCGGUCCACAACUCUCCCAUCCUUGAAGGGAUUUUAGUUUUACUUGGCACAAAUGUUCCCCAUGAUGAGAUGAUGUGUCAUGCGCAAAUCCCGGACCCCUAGCUCAAAGGUCAAGGUCACAAUUGGAGGUCAAAGGUCAACAGGGCUUUUUUCCUGUCCGGUCCAUAACUCUCCCAUCCAUGAAGAGAUUUUAAUAGUACUUGGCACAAAUGUUCCCCAUCAGGAGACGACGUGUCAUGCGCAAAACCUGGACCCCUAGUUUAAAGGUCAAGGUCACAAUUGGAGGUCAAAGGUCAACAAGGCUUCAUUCCUGUCCGGUCCAUAACUCUCCCAUCUAUGAAGGGAUUUUAAUAUUACUUGGCACAAAUGUACCUCAUAAUAAGAGGAUGUGUCAUGCACAACUUUCAGACCCCUAGCUCAAAGGUCAAGGUCACACUUAGCAGUCAAAUGUUAACAUAGCAUAAACAGGGUCUGUUUCGUGUCCGGUCCAUAACUCUGACAUUCAUUAAGGGAUUUUAAUAUCACUUAGCACAAGUGUUCCCCAUGAUGAGACGAUGUGUCAUGCGCAAAUCCCGGACCCCUAGCUCAAAGGUCAAGGUCACAAUUGGGGGUCAAAGGUCAACAGAGUUUUUUUCCUGUCCCAUCCAUAACUCUGCCAUCCAUGAAGGGAUUUUAAUAUUACUUGGCACAAAUGUUCCCCAUGAUGAGACAACAUGUUGUGCGCAAAGCCCAGACCCUUAGCUCAAAGGUCAAGGUCACAAUUGGAGGUCAAAUGUCAAUAAGGUUUUUUUCCCUGUUCGAUCCAGAACUCUGUCAUCCAUCACGGGAUUACAAUAUUACUUGGCAUAAAUGUUUCCCAUGAUGAGACGACGUGUCAUGCGCAACACCCAGUACCCUAGCUUAAAGGUCAAGGUCACACUUUGAGAUCAAAGGUCAAGAGGAUUUUUUUCCUGUCCGGUCUGUAACUUUGUCAUGCAAAGCAGGAUUUAGAUAUCAGUUGGCACAAAUAUUCCCCUGGAUGAGACAACAUGUCAUGUGCAAGAACCAGGUCCCUAGGUCUAAGGUCAAGGUCAUAUUUAGAGGUCAAAGGUCAAAUUCAUGAAUGACUUUGUAUGGAACAUUUCUUCUUCAUGCAUGGAGGGAUUUGAUGUAACUUGGACCAAAUGUUCACCACCAUGAGGCACCCUUGUUUUUAGAAUUACGUCCCUUUGUUGUUACUAUAAAUAGAUUUUAUUGUAACUUUUUUAUUACUGGCGAUAGAAAAAAAUCGAGACCACUUUUCUGUGGUAUAGCAUGCAUGUUACAUCCAAUUUUUAGGUGUAUUUUGACCUAUCUCUACCCGGUAAAGAGUUUCUUGUGGACUUAUAUUAUAUAGAUUUUUUUUUUUUUUUUUUUUUUUUUUUUUUUAAAGAUUAAUUUCCCUUUGUUGUUACUAUAAAUAACUUACAUGAUAACGUUUUUAUAAUCUGCCAAAAAAAUUCAAUAUUAAAAGAACUGUGGGUUUUUAUAUAUGCACAUUUUAAUCCAAGUGUGUUGUUAUAACAUAUUGUAUAUGUAGUACAAUAUUGUUUAUACAUCAUUGACAGAUAUCAGUUCAUUAUGUUAUACUGCAGUAGAGAAAAUUAGGUGCCUUCCAGUAGGGGACUUUGUAUUGCAUGGCAGUACUUCAUUCACUUGUUUUGUAUGGUCUUUUUAAUGGAUCUUUAUCAUACUUGGUGAGGAGCAUCAUUACAAGGUCCUCUACCAGAUUUGUUCAAAAGGGUGCACUUAGCCUGUUUUAGGGGCCGCUAGUGCUAAAAAUUGUAAUACCUUUAAAUGACUUCUUCUCAUGAACAACUUGUUGGAGCUUCAUUAAACUUGAUUUGUAGCAUCCCUUCCAACGUGGUUCAGGUGGGGGAUGUUUGGCUCUUUUAGUGGUUCAUUAGAGGUAAAAAUAGAAUAAAACCUUAAAAUGACAUCUCAUGAGACACUGGCUGGAUGUUCAUCAAACUUGGUCCUUAUCAUUGUAAGGUCAUCUCCCAAACUUAUUCAAAUGGGGGCUCCUUGCACCUUUUAGGGGCCACAUGAGCUAAAAAUAAAAAAACUUCUGGUGAACUGCUUGAUGAAUCUUCAUCAAACUUACUUUAGCUUCAUUGUAAGGUCCUCCCUACAGCUAAAAAUAGAAGAAAAAAAAAAUUAAUCUUGAGGUUUGUUUUAAUGGUAAUGUAUUUUUGGGCUGUCACAGCAAAAUAUACAUGUGUAGAAAGAAAACCUUUAAUUAACUUUUAUUUUCAUGAACUUCUUAAAGAAUGCUCAUCAAACUUGGUCAAAAGCAAGAUAAGAAAGGUCCUCUUCUGGUGAGUGACUUUAAAAUGUCUAAAUGAAAAACAACGUAGCUGAAUAUAAGGCUUAUGAAGAUAGAAAGAUACAGUUCACUGAAGGGAUUAAAAUUUCUUUUAUACCCAUCAUCAAUUUCUGUAUCAGGGACCUGACUUAAGUUCUGGUAAUUUUUUUUCUUUUCUGGACUCCAAGUCGCAAAGUACAUUAGCUACAGUUUUCAAACUUUAUGUGAUUACUAGGCAUCAUUUGAGGAGGAUCUCUACUAUUUCUGGGACAGAAUGGUUUCUUGAUUGUUAGUCUCGAACUAAGUACCACUUGACAAAGACCCUUAUCAGUUUUGGGGUCAGUGGUUGAAAGGUCAUGGUCACAGAUAGCUGAAUUAAUGUUUGUGGUUUUUAGCUCACCUGUCACAAAGUGACAAGGUGAGCUUUUGUGAUCGCCCGUCGUCCGUCCGUGCGUUCGUCCGUCUGUGCGUGCGUGCGUAAACUUUUGCUUGUGACCACUCUAGAGGUCACAUUUUUCAUGGGAUCUUUAUGAAAAUUGGUCAGAAUGUUCACCUUGAUGAUAUCUAGGUCAAGUUCGAAACUGGGUCACGUGCAGUAAAAAACUAGGUCAGCAGGUCUAAAAAUAGAAAAACAUUGUGACCUCUCUAGAGGCCAUAUAUUUCACAAGAUCUUCAUGAAAAUUGGUCAGAAUGUUCACCUUGAUGAUAUCUAGGUCAAGUUCGAAACUGGGUCACGUGCCAUCAAAAACUAGGUCAGUAGGUCAAAUAAUAGAAAAACCUUGUGACCUCUCUAAAGGCCAUAUUUUUCAUGGGAUCUGUAUGAAAGUUGGUCUGAAUGUUCAUCUUGAUGAUAUCUAGGUCAGUUUGAAACUGGGUCACGUGCGGUCAAAAACUAGGUCAGUAGGUCUAAAAAUAGAAAAACCUUGUGACCUCUCUAGAGGCCAUACUUGUGAAUGGAUCUUCAUAAAAAUUGGUCAGAAUGUUCACCUUGAUGAUAUCUAGGUCAGGUUUGAAAAUGGGUCACAUGUCUUCAAAAAGUAGGUCAGUAGGUCAAAUAAUGAAAAAAACCUUGUGACCUCUCUAGAGGCCAUAUUUUUCAUGAGAUCUGUAUGAAAGUUGGUCUGUAUAUCCAUCUUGAUGAUAUCUAGGUCAAGUUCGAAACUGGGUCACGUGCGGUCCAAAACUAGGUCAGUAGGUCUAAAAAUAGAAAAACCUUGUGACCUCUCUAGAGGCCAUACUUUUGAAUGAAUCUACAUGAAAAUUAGUUAGAAUGUUCACCUUGAUGAUAUCUAGGUCAAGUUCGAAACUGGGUCACGUGCCAUCAAAAACUAGGUCAGUAGGUCAAAUAAUAA